AUUAAUUUAAUGGGAAUGAUUUGUCUUUUAACCUCACGUACGAAGAAAUCUUACUUUUCUCCAGGGGAAAAUGUCAUCUAUUACAGAUAAAAACCUCCGUGAUGCAGUGCAAGAAGACCCC